rnacentral:rRNA from 1 species
GGGAGCUCUCCCAUAUGGUCGACCUGCAGGCGGCCGCGAAUUCACUAGUGAUUCGUAUUACCGCGGCUGCUGGCACGGAGUUAGCCGGAGCUUAUUCUCCCGGUACUGUCAUUAUCAUCCCGGGUAAAAGAGCUUUACAACCCUAAGGCCUUCAUCACUCACGCGGCAUUGCUGGAUCAGGCUUUCGCCCAUUGUCCAAUAUUCCCCACUGCUGCCUCCCGUAGGAGUCUGGGCCGUGUCUCAGUCCCAGUGUGGCUGAUCAUCCUCUCAGACCAGCUAAGGAUCGUCGCCUUGGUGCGCCUUUACCACACCAACUAGCUAAUCCUACGCGGGCUCAUCCCUCGGCGAUAAAUCUUUGGACUUACGUCGUCAUCCGGUAUUAGCAGUCAUUUCUAACUGUUAUUCCGAACCAAGGGGCAGAUUCCCACGUGUUACUCACCCGUCUGCCACUAAUUUAUUUAAAGCAAGCUCUAAAUAAAUCCGUUCGACUUGCAUGUGUUAAGCAUACCGAAAGCGUUCGUUCUGAGCCAGGAUCAAACUCUAAUCGAAUUCCCGCGGCCG